rnacentral:lncRNA from 1 species
GAGCGGAGGUUUAAUAGGCAAAAGAAAGAGAAAGGGCCUGGCACACUGGCUCACGCCUGUAACCCCAGCACUUUGGGAGGCCGAGGUGGGCAGAUCACAAGGUCAGGAGAUCAAGACCAUCCUGGCCAACAUGGGGAAACCCUGUCUCCACUAAAAAUACAAAAAAAUUAGCUGGGCGUGGUGGAGGGCACCUGCAGCCCAGCUACUCAGGAGGCUGAGGCAGUAGAAUGGCGUGAACCUUGGGGGCGGAGCUUGCAGUGAGCCAAGAUCGCACCACUGCACUCCAGCCUGGGCAACAGAGCGAGACUCCAUCUCAAAAAAAUAAUAAUAAAAGAAAAGAAAAGAAGAAGAAAGAAAGAAAGGAGAACAGCUCUCCCUUGCAAGAGAGGGGUGCCCGAAUUGGAAUUCCAGCCGGCAACAGGGUACAAUGGAUUUUAUAGACAGGCUUGAGGAGGCGGUGUCUGAUUACAUAGGGCCCACAGAUUGGUUUGACCAACUGUGACAUUUACAUAGCUUAUGGGGAAGGCUGGCCACCCCACCCUAAUAUUAUGCAAAUGGGCUUCCCACUUGGCCAGAGCCAUGUUGUCUGCUCUUUACUGUACACGUGGCUGGCAAAGAGAGGGGAACAUGGAGCCCCAUUUGAACAUGCCUAGUCCCAGGUAGCCUUUUCCUAUUUACACAACUGCCGGCAUUCACCCGUGGAAGCUUCCAGCUUGCUUGUCUAUGGCUGCAGCUCAAUUUUACAGGCUGCUUUUUGUUAGAAAAGAAAACAAUUCUGGGGCUGCUUUUCAUUAAAAGGAAAACCUUACCAAAGACUCCCAUACCCUCAAGAUCUGCCUAAAUAAUUUCUUCUUAACUCCUACAUCAAUAGGACAUCGGUAGAAGAAAUAACUAAGCAGUGUGUCCAGGAUGCUGUGUGGCUUUUCUUAACUGCUUGCUGUGAAGUGUGAGAAGAGAGAAACAAGUUAAAGACAGAAUUAGUAUUCAAAAAGGAAGCAGAACAUAAAGAUUUGGAAAAUUCUCAGCCUGGUCAUGUAAAGAAUAAAAAUGUAUGUUUAGGAGACAAACCUAAGGAUGUGGCUAAGCAUCCUUUGAUAAGGAGAUUAGUAUGGCUAGAAAGAAGCCAGUUUCUAUUCAUCAGGUCAAUGGGAGAAUGACUAAGAAAGUCAUUCAUGCAGAUUGCCACAUAAUUAAACUAACUCUGAAACUCUGAAAUGGGCCAGUUUUUCAAAAAACAAACAAACAAACAGUAGCAGAAGAGGCCAGCGCCAGGUGCGGUGGCUCACGCCUGGAAUCCCAGCACUUUGGGAGGUUGAGGUGGGUGAAUCACCUGAGGUCAGGAGUUUGAGACCAGCCUGGCCAAUAUGGUGAAACCCUGUCUGUACUAAAAAUACAAAAAUUAGCCAGGCUUGGUGGCGGGAGCCUGUAAUCCCAGCUACUUGGGAGGCUGAGGCAUGAGAAUCACUUGAACCGGGGAGGUGGAGGUUGCAGUGAGCAAAGAUCAAGCAAGAGAACUCCAGCCUGGGUGACAGAGCUGAGACUGCAUCAAAAAAAAAAAAAAAAAAAAAAAGCACAGGAGAUUCACAGCAAGCAAUCAGAAGGGGCCCAGUUUGCCUGAGUUGGCAUGAUAAGAAAAAUCACUCUGUUUUAACCCUAUAGGGAAAGUAACUGAAAUGGCCAAUCUGCUUUUCAUUGUUUAUAUGUUUUCUUCAGUCCUUUCUGCCUAUAAAGCCACCCACCUCUGCUUUAGCUCAUCAGGAAACUUACUCUGUUUCAUAUAAUAAGAUACUGCUUGAUUCUAGAAUCAGAAAGAAAAGCCAAUUAGAAUCUUCAGACACUGUCUUUUGACGGUGAUGAUAAAUUGCAAAUAUCAUAGCCAAAAGUUAUGAAUAGGAUAAUUACAAAGUUCAUAUGUUAAACAUAUUUUUCCAAACACUUAUCCAAAUUAUUUGACUCUUUCCUUAUCAUUACAUUUCCAUAUCAUAUAUAUAUAUAGAGAGAGAGAGAGACAGAGUUUUGUUCUUGUUGCCCAGGCUGGAGUGCAAUGGCACGAUCUCUGCUCACUGCAACCUCCACCUCCCGGGUUCAAGCGAUUCUCCUGCCUCAGCCUCUCAAGUAGCUGGGAUUACAGGCAUGCGCCACCACACCUGGCUAAUUUUUAUAUUUUUAGUAGAGACGGGGUUUCUCCAUGUUGGUCAGACUGGUCUCGAACUCCCGACCUCAGGUGAUCUGCCCGCCUCAGCCUCCCAAAGUGCUGGGAUUACAGGAGUGAGCCACCGCACCCAGCCUCCAUGUCAUAUUUUAAGAUUAAAAAGAAGCUGAGAUUUUAUUGCCAUUGAAAAGGAUCAUGGUUUGAAAUCAGAGUGGGACAAAGAAAAAUAUUCUUUACUUGGUUUCAGGAGAUUUGGGUUAGAGGCUUUGUUCCACUAGAGGCAAAUUCUCUUUGGGCUAAUCUUGUAACUUCUCUCACUCUCAAUCCCCUCCCUCUUGAGGCAGAGAUCAUAGUAUCUGUCUUCUGUAGCUCACAGGACUGACUUGUAGAUCCAGUGAGAUAAAUUGUUAUUAGCAUUUAGCUUGUAAAAUUAUUUUAUAUACCUUAUUUCACUCGAUUUAUUUGCCUUUAGUGAAACAAAGGCUCUAACAAAAUCUUCUCAAACCAAAUAAGGAGGUUUUUUUUGUCCCACUCUGAUUUCAAAGCAUGAUCCUUUUCAGUGGCAAUAAAAUCUCAGCUUCUUUACAAUCUUAAAAUCUGGGAUGGAAAGGUAAUGACAAUGAAAGAAAGUUCAAUAAUGUGGAUAACUAUUUGGAAAAAAAUGUUUAAUAUAUGAACCAUGUAACUUUUCUAAUCAUAAUUUUUUACUGUAAUAUUUACAAGCUUUUCAUAACAGAUAUGCUGCCCUAAUUAUCUGUUUCAAAAAAACAAACAUAUACUCUGUCAUGAUAAAACUAUUUUUAAGAAAUUAUUUAGACCAAGCCAAAUUUAACUCUUUAUUAGCAUGAAGUC